ACAACGAAGAGUUUGAUCCUGGCUCAGGAUGAACGCUAGCGACAGGCUUAACACAUGCAAGUCGAGGGGCAGCGGGGGUAGCAAUACCCGCCGGCGACCGGCGCACGGGUGAGUAACGCGUAUGCAACUUACCUAUCAGAGGGGGAUAACCCGGCGAAAGUCGGACUAAUACCGCAUGAAGCAGGGGCCCCGCAUGGGGAUAUUUGCUAAAGAUUCAUCGCUGAUAGAUAGGCAUGCGUUCCAUUAGGCAGUUGGCGGGGUAACGGCCCACCAAACCGACGAUGGAUAGGGGUUCUGAGAGGAAGGUCCCCCACAUUGGUACUGAGACACGGACCAAACUCCUACGGGAGGCAGCAGUGAGGAAUAUUGGUCAAUGGGCGUAAGCCUGAACCAGCCAAGUCGCGUGAGGGAUGAAGGUUCUAUGGAUCGUAAACCUCUUUUAUAAGGGAAUAAAGUG
rnacentral:rRNA from 1 species